ACACUAUAUACCUUAGAAGAACAAGAAGUUCAGGAAAGACGAGGAGGGAAUAAGAAGAAUAAGAACAUCCUUCUUCUUGUCCAAGUUGUACAGAGUUGCAGCAGAAGUUGGAUCGUUGAAAAUGGAAUAUUAUAAUAAUCGUGGAAAA